rnacentral:rRNA from 1 species
UUUGUGCUUGCACAAAUAAAGUUAGUGGCAAACGGGUGAGUAAUACAUGGGAAUUUACCUCGUAGUACGGAAUAACUAUUGGAAACAGUAGCUAAUACCGUAUAUUGCCGAGAGGUGAAAGAUUUAUCGCUACGAGAUGAGCCCAUGCAAGAUUAGCUAGUUGGUAAGGUAAUGGCUUACCAAGGCUACGAUCUUUAGCUGGUUUGAGAGAAUGACCAGCCACACUGGAACUUAGACACGGUCCAGACUCC